rnacentral:rRNA from 1 species
UACAGAGGUCCCGAGCGUUGUUCGGAUUCACUGGGCGUAAAGGGUGCGUAGGUGGUGAGGUAAGUCGGAUGUGAAAGCUCCGAGCUCAACUCGGAAAUGGCAUUGGAAACUACCUUGCUAGAGGGUUUGAGGGGGGACUGGAAUACUUGGUGUAGCAGUGAAAUGCGUAGAUAUCAUGAGGAAUACCAGAGGCGAAGGCGGCUACCUGGACAAUUGCUGACGCUCAGGCACGAAAGCGUGGGGAGCAAAAGGG